UCGGAACGAGNAUACGAUAUAUAUUGAACCGCAUGGUUCAAUAGUGAAAGACGGUUUUGCUGUCACUUAUAGAUGGAUCCGCGCCGCAUUAGCUAGUUGGUAAGGUAACGGCUUACCAAGGCAGCGAUGCGUAGCCGACCUGAGAGGGUGAUCGGCCACACUGGAACUGAGACACGGUCCAGACUCCUACGGGAGGCAGCAGCG
rnacentral:rRNA from 1 species